AACGAACGUUGGCGGCAUGCCUAACACAUGCAAGUCGAACGAGACCUUCGUGUCUAGUGGCGCACGGGUGCGUAACGCGUGGGAACCUGCCUUUAGGUUCGGAAUAACUCAUAGAAAUUUGAGCUAAUACCGGAUGAUGUCUUCGGACCAAAGAUUUAUCGCCUUUAUAUGGGCCCGCGUUGGAUUAGCUAGUUGGUGGGGUAAAGGCCUACCAAGGCGACGAUCCAUAGCUGGUCUGAGAGGAUGAUCAGCCACACUGGGACUGAGACACGGCCCAGACUCCUACGGGAGGAAGCAGUGGGGAAUAUUGGAACAUGGGCGAAAGCCUGAUCCAGCAAUGCCGCGUGAGUGAUGAAGGCAUUAGGGUUGUAAAGCUCUUUUAACCGAGAUGAUAAUGACAGUAGCGGGAGAAUAAGCUCCGGCUAACUCCGUG
rnacentral:rRNA from 1 species